rnacentral:rRNA from 1 species
AUUGAACGCUGGCGGCAGGCUUAACACAUGCAAGUCGAGCGGAGAUGAGGUGCUUGCACCUUAUCUUAGCGGCGGACGGGUGAGUAAUGCUUAGGAAUCUGCCUAUUAGUGGGGGACAACAUUCCGAAAGGAAUGCUAAUACCGCAUACGUCCUACGGGGGAAAGCAGGGGAUCUUCGGACCUUGCGCUAAUAGAUGAGCCUAAGUCGGAUUAGCUAGUUGGUGGGGUAAAGGCCUACCAAGGCGACGAUCUGUAGCGGGUCUGAGAGGACGAUCCGCCACACUGGGACUGAGACACGGCCCAGACUCCUACGGGAGGCAGCAGUGGGGAAUAUUGGACAAUGGGGGGAACCCUGAUCCAGCCAUGCCGCGUGUGUGAAGAAGGCCUUAUGGUUGUAAAGCACUUUAAGCGAGGAGGAGGCUACUGAGACUAAUACUCUUGGAUAGUGGACGUUACUCGCAGAAUAAGCACCGGCUAACUCUGUGCCAGCAGCCGCCGUAAGAC